UGCUUGAGAGUGGCGAACGGGUGAGUAAUAUAUCGGAACGUGCCCAGUCGUGGGGGAUAACGUAGAGAAAUUUACGCUAAUACCGCAUACGAUCUACGGAUGAAAGCGGGGGAUUCGCAAGAACCUCGCGCGAUUGGAGCGGCUGAUAUCAGAUUGGGUUGUUGGUGAGGUAAAAGCUCACCAAGCCGACGAUCUGUAGCUGGUUUGAGAGAACGACCAGCCACACUGGGACUGAGACACGGCCCAGACUCCUACGGGAGGCAGCAGUGGGGAAUUUUGGACAAUGGGCAAAAGCCUGAUCCAGCAAUGCCGCGUGUGGGAAGAAGGCCUUCGGGUUGUAAACCACUUUUGUACGGAACGAAACGGUUCGCUUUAAUACAGUGGGCUAAUGACGGUACCGUAAGAAUAAGCACCGGCUAACUACGUGCCAGCAGCCGCGGUAAUACGUAGGGUGCGAGCGUUAAUCGGAAUUACUGGGCGUAAAGCGUGCGCAGGCGGUUAUAUAAGACAGUUGUGAAAUCCCCGGGCUCAACCUG
rnacentral:rRNA from 1 species